GCCUGACGAAGAGUCAAGUUCAAAGUCAAAGGCGAAAGGAAUGAAGCAUAGUAGCUUUGCCUCAGCAGCACUCAAAGAAACUGCAAGGUUGAAGAUUGACCACGCCGAUCAACAUAUACAGUAGAAAUCACUGACAUGGAGUGAGCUACGUACUCCAUCCAAGGCAGUAUUGACUUCUCACCUCAGCGCACAUCAAAAAAUAGCUGUGGAGGACAUGCAGGGUACAAUGCUUGCUGUCUUCAAUAGUGUGAUCUGAAAUGAAUGGGUCCUUAA